rnacentral:rRNA from 1 species
AGUGAACGCUGGCGGUAGGCCUAACACAUGCAAGUCGAACGGCAGCACAGUAAGAGCUUGCUCUUACGGGUGGCGAGUGGCGGACGGGUGAGGAAUACAUCGGAAUCUACUUUUUCGUGGGGGAUAACGUAGGGAAACUUACGCUAAUACCGCAUACGACCUACGGGUGAAAGCAGGGGAUCUUCGGACCUUGCGCGAUUGAAUGAGCCGAGGUCGGAUUAGCUAGUUGGCGGGGUAAAGGCCCACCAUGGCGACGAACCGUAGCUGGUCUGAGAGGAUGAUCAGCCACACUGGAACUGAGACACGGUCCAGACUCCUACGGGAGGCAGCAGUGGGGAAUAUUGGACAAUGGGCGCAAGCCUGAUCCAGCCAUACCGCGUGGGUGAAGAAGGCCUUCGGGUUGUAAAGCCCUUUUGUUGGGAAAGAAAAGCAGCAGGUUAAUACCCCGCUGUUCUGACGGUACCCAAAGAAUAAGCACCGGCUAACUUCGUG